rnacentral:rRNA from 1 species
ACGGCUCAGUAACACGUGGUCAAUCUACCCUAUGGUGGAGGAUACCCCCGGGAAACUGGGUUUAAUACUCCAUAGAUUAGGCGCAUUGGAAUUAUCGCUUAAUUCAAAGAUCCGUCGCCAUAGGAUGAGACUGCGCCCGAUUAGGUAGUUGUUGGGGUAUGUGCCCAACAAGCCUAUAAUCGGUACGGGUUGUGGGAGCAAGAUCCCGGAGAUGGACUCUGAGACACGAGUCCAGGCCCUACGGGGCGCAGCAGGCGCGAAACCUUUACCAUGCGGGCAACCGUGAUAAGGAAACCCCGAGUGGAUGAACAGUCAUCCUGUCCACCAGUUUAGAACUCUGGUGAAGAAAGGGCCGGGCAAGACCGGUGCCAGCCGCCGCGGUAAUACCGGCGGCUCGAGCGGUGGCCACUAUUACUGGGCUUAAAGGGUCCGUAGCUUGCAUGAUCAGCCUCUUGAGAAAUCCACUGGCUUAACCAAUGGUCGUUCAGGAGGCACUGUCAUGCUAGGGACCGGGAGAGGUAAGGGGUACUGCCGGGGUAGGAGUGAAAUCCUGUAAUCCUGGUGGGACCACCGGUGGCGAAGGCGCCUUACCAGAACGGCUCCGACAGUGAGGGACGAAAGCUGGGGGAGCGAACCGGAUUAGAUACCCGGGUAGUCCCAGCCGUAAACGAUGCGCGUUAGGUGUGUCAGUGACCACGCGUCACUGAGGUGCCGAAGGGAAACCGUGAAACGCGCCGCCUGGGAAGUACGGUCGCAAGGCUGAAACUUAAAGGAAUUGGCGGGGGAG